rnacentral:lncRNA from 1 species
CAAAAUAUAUAAUAUUUUCAACAACAUCUAUUUACGUAUUUGAGCAACCAAUUACUUCGUUUUAAGCCACAGAUUUUAAAAUCUAUAACAAUGCAACGACCUCUAAAUAAAAGCCCUAAUUUAUUUGUAGGUUGAGAAUUUAUUAGGUCAUUUGAUGAGUCACGUACGCUUGAGAUAAACUUCGUCUCCAUGCAGAAAUUGCAAUUAGACAUAACAAUGAAUUGUAGGCUGGUUGGGCGUAUUUAUACGCAUUUAUUUGGGUAUUUUAGUAUGAUUUCUAUGCUUCAUUAUUUAUAUAUAUAAUCAUUUUGGUACGAUUUUAUGAGCUUAAGUGGAGUUUGAUGGUAAUUGAUAGGUUUUGAAGAAAAGACUUGCUUUUGAGAAGAGUUUUGAAGUCUUAAGCUGUGAAGAAAGAAUCUGUGCGCGCAAGCUGGACGGCGUGCCCAUACCGUCUGAGAUGUCCGAAAUUCAAGAUUGGCGAGAAUCUUGUGGGCUGAAGUUCUUUUGUCUUUUAGUGGCCUUUCUUUUCAUUAUUUGGUGGGCCAAUACACUGAUAUUAGGCUUAGGCCUUUUUCUUAUAAUUUUAUUGUUUAAUUAGGUUUUAGUUUAGGUUUAGAAUUAUUAUAUAUACAUUUAUGCAUCACAAUUCACGCCAACUUUGGGGAGAAGCUGCUAGACGUGAUUAUUUUGCUCAUCAAUUCAAGUUCUUCUUUUAUUUUGUUCUUCACGUUUUUUUUAUUAUUUAUUUUAUUAUGAGUUCUAGCUAAUUUCUUUUAUUCCAGCAACGAUUAGGGAAGCACUAGCAAGAUUAUUCUGUGAGAUCUAAUUGUUCUUAUACUUUAUUUUUAUGCUUGCAUCUGCGAUUCUCCAUAUUUAAUGAUAUUAAUUAUUUUAAUCCAUUAGAUAGUUGUAAAUAUUUAUUGGGUUAGAAUUAAUUAUAUAGCCAAUUAAACCGGCCAUCCUAAUUGUGGUUUAGUUUGAUUAGUGGUAAAUUGACACAUCAGGGUCAAGGAAAAACAGUCUUAAUUCAAUAAUCUCGUCAGAGUUUAUUGGUUUUGAAUCGGGUUUCUCUAGAUAUUAAUGUUGUCGGCUCAUUAAAUCUAUAGAGCGUCUCUUACGGUUGUCAGUCGAUUAGGGUAGUAAUUAGUGAAGCGUCUUCCUAAUUACCGAAUAAUUAAGGAGAAAUAAGAUCACGUCAGAAGCGUCUUCGGUGGUUAUAACUGGUUUGCUUGCAUGAAUUAAAGUUAUAUUUGCAUCAAUGAUCGGAAUAAUUAAGCUAGGGUGGACUUAAUUGAUUGCUGGAAUUCUUUAUUAAUUGUUUGAUUUUUCUAUUUAUUUAUUUAGUAUUAGAACCAUUACAAUUCUUAUAGGUUUUAUUUAUUUAUUUUUAGAUUUAGUAUUUUUUUCAUAUUUUUCCCCAUAAUUUCGUUUCUUGAGUUUCUUUGCAGGUUGAAUUUUAGGAGAAUUCUCACCGAUCCCUUGGGAGACGAUUUUGCUUACUGCUGUCUGUGCAGUGUGGGCAUACCGGCUGACCGCCGGAUAUUUUUAGUGUAAAACGACGCAUCAUAGGCAAAUACUUACCAAGCCCAAUAUAAAAGAUAUUGAUCAAAUUCAAAUUCAUUACAUUUUAAUAUGAAUUCAUUAUAAAUUGGUCACCAAGUCGUGUAUCUUUAUAGGAAAUGGAUCAAACCCACUUUAUGAA